rnacentral:rRNA from 1 species
AGGGUUUGAUCCUGGCUCAGGACGAACGCUGGCGGCGUGCCUAACACAUGCAAGUCGAGCGAGAAAGCCCCUUCGGGGGUUAGUAAAGCGGCGGACGGGUGAGUAACACGUGAGCGAUCUACCCAAGGGUGGGGGACAACUCAGGGAAACUUGAGCUAAUACCGCGUACAGCGCCGGCUUGGAAGCCUGGCGUGAAAGCUGGCCUCUACUUGUAAGCUAGCGCCUUUGGAUGAGCUCGCGGCCUAUCAGCUUGUUGGUGGGGUAAUGGCCUACCAAGGCGAUGACGGGUAGCUGGCGUGAGAGCGCGACCAGCCACACUGGGACUGAGACACGGCCCAGACUCCUACGGGAGGCAGCAGUGGGGAAUAUUGCGCAAUGGGCGAAAGCCUGACGCAGCGACGCCGCGUGGGGGAGGAAGGCCUCAGGGUUGUAAACCCCUGUCAGGUGGGACGAAACCCGUAGUGUCUAAUAGGCAUUACGACUGACGGUACCACCAGAGGAAGCUCCGGCUAACUCCGUGCCAGCAGCCGCGGUAAUACGGGGGGAGCAAGCGUUGUUCGGAAUUACUGGGCGUAAAGGGCGCGUAGGCGGCCAGGUCAGUCGCAUGUGAAAGGCCGGGGCUCAACCCCGAGCACUGCAUGCGAUACUGCUUGGCUCGAGAGAGGUAGGGCGAGUGGAAUUCCCGGUGUAGCGGUGGAAUGCGUAGAUAUCGGGAGGAACACCUGUGGCGAAGGCGGCUCGCUGGACCUUUUCUGACGCUGA